UUUCCGUAGGUGAACCUGCGGAAGGAUCAUUAUUGUAUAACCGAGGUGCGAGGGCUGUCGCUGACCCGAAAGGUCGUGCACGCCCGAGUGCCCUCAAACACAUCCAUCUCACCCCUAUGUGCACCACCGCGUGGGUCCCCCUUUGGCUUGUUCGGAGGGGGGCUUACGUUUUCACACAAACUUUGUAUGCAGUGUAGAAUGUAUUUUUUGUUUUUGCGAUCACGCAAUCAAUACAACUUUCAACAACGGAUCUCUUGGCUCUC
rnacentral:misc_RNA from 1 species